CAUUUGAUUCUGGAGAGCACUGGAGGAAAGUGUUUACAUAGUGUCUUUCUGGGGCUUGUUAGCCAGGCUGUUGCAGAGAGAGUUGGGUCUGCUCUGGUGAACUGGAGUGCUUUUGGCAGUUACCCACCCUACUUGACUAAAUGUGGCUUAAUUAGGCUCAGGCAAAACUUUGUAAACAUGUUAAGGUAGCCUGCUGGUUUAUGUGUUUCUUAUCAAGAGCUGAAGCAAUAAAAAUGAAUGAUAAGGAAGUAACCCAAGCAGAUACUCGAUUGACUGGGAUGCUGGUCUGGGAACUCCUGCCCAUGGAGACAGAAACGGCCCUCACUCUGGCUCCAGGGCCCCCACCCACGCCAGGAAUUACGCCAACACCAAAGGGUCAGGGGCUCAAACUCUGAGAGACUGCUGGGGUGUGUUUAUGAACGCUGUCUCCGAUGGUAAAGAUCAACGGCUGCUCUCGCCACAACGCAGUCCCACUUUCCCGUGGCACAAGAGGCUCACCUUGAGAGUGAGAAUUCCUUCUCUGAUCAGCACACGACCAGCGAUGUUCGAGCUAAUGUUUGCCUGAAUACAGCCUGUAUCGCCUUGGAGCACCUCUCUCUCUCUCUCUUUCUGGUUUAAGUUUCCAUUAGGGACUCGGCGAGACCCACAGCGUCAGAGCCCAUUCAGUCUAUUGUUAAUCGAGAGCGUCUACAAUCAAAGUGUGGAGUGUUUGGGUCAGAAGCCUCAGCCAUUGUGGCCUACCCCAGGGCAAGAGUGUGGCCCCCAGGGACGCAAGCUCACCAACCUCCUUUACGCCGCACCGCUAUGAGGUUUAGCCUGGGGACUCGAGUGCUUCAAAGAGCUAAUGACCAACUCCAGAAAUAUUUGCUUGAUUGAGUGCGUGGUUGACUUUAAGGCUAUCUUUUUUCUCAUGUCGAUCCACAGGUGAGGUCUUCUUUUUCACUUAUAUAAAAAAAAAAAUAAAAUAAAACUUUUUUUUUUCAGCCAGCUCAUCAAUCAAACUUGUUUAACCAUUGAAAUGAAAUUGUAGUAGUAAAUGUAAUAUCGAAAUCUGUUUUAUUUUUUUUUAUUUUUUUUUUAAUCAAAAUUGGUUUUUUUUCAUGGCUUUUAUUCCAUGCCUGUUGUCAUUGAGAUCAUUUAUUUGCUAGUGUACUUGAAUUAACUUGGCAAAUAGACAUAAUUUAAAAAAAAAUAAACACAAACAAAAAAAAUAUAUAUUGAUGACUCAUCUUGCACUAAUGGGCGUGUCCAAAUUUUGGUCAAAUAAAAUGCUCUGCCGAUGAGGAAUGUCCCUCCCCUUAAUACUCAAUCAGCCUUGUAGUAUUGUAUGAAAUUUAAGUAAUACAUUUUAUAUUAAAUCUUUUUUUUUUUUUUUUUUUUUUAAACCAGUAUUGGAGUUGUCUGGCAUUUAUUCCAUGUCUGUUAGCAUUGAGAUCAUCUAUAUGCUAGUGUACUUAACUUCAUUUGGCAGAUAGACAUAAUAAAAAUUAAUAAAAACAAACCAAA